AUGAGUUGCGGGGUGGGGAGGAGGGCGGUGCGUGCGCUAUGGGGCCGAGCCUCCUCUUCCUUGCCUUGCUGGCUGCGCUGGUCUCCUGCGAGGAGCCGGAAGGUAACGGGCUGUGGGGGGCUCAUAUGGGCUGGGCUCGUGCUACCUAUCUGGGGGGCUAGUGGGGAGGGUGAUGCUCAGCCCUUUGCCCCCGGGGCUGGGGCAGCAGAGCCRUCCCAGCCCCUCUCUGCCUUGCUCCCUGCGGUGCCAGGAGUCCUGGAUACCUACUGGUCUGGCACGGCGCCCAUCUGCCUGGGGGGCUGCAAGGGGAAGCACAAGGAGCUGAAGAGGAGCCAGUGCGGGGACGGCAGCUGCUGCUGGCUGGGCUACAAGUCCUUCUGCCGAGUGAACUGCGGGCGGCCCGAGGCGGACUUCAACUCCGUGGUGUACGGCAACGACUGGUGGGUCGGCUCGGUGGUGCGCUACAGCUGCCGGCCCGGCUUCCUGCUCCUGGGCGACCCAGCCAGCGCCUGCCAGUCCGACGGCCGCUGGACCCCCAAGCCCACCUGCCUCCGGAUCUGCCUGCGAGGCCGGAUCGAGAUCAACGAGCGGGACAUUACCGGGAGGUGCUCCUCGUCCUGCAGCACCCACCCUCUCCUGGGAACCUUCCUCAACCGCGGCUGCAUCAAGAUCUCGGCCUGUGUCACCAAGCAGCCCGGCUGGGCCCGCUGGUUCCAGCGCUGCGAUGUCUGCGAGUGCGACUGCCACGUCCCGUGCGCUUCCUCCGGGUAGAGCUGAGCUGGCCGGGGCUGCAGGAUCUGACUCCGCUCCGAGAGGGACCUCUGCCUCGGAUGAGUGCUGCCUUCCCUUAGCUGAUCUCCAUCACUGGGCUCCUUUCCCAGCUCCAUCUGCUGCGAGGCUGUCGGUGGGGAGGAGAGGAGAGAGCCGCCUGGACUUGCCCCUCUCGCAGGGCUGCCUUCUCGCCUGGCCCCCUUGCAAGGACCCCCCAGCGCCAGGGGAUGCUCAGCAAGCAGCAGGGGCUGGGGAGCUGCACUCACCUCCCGCAGCUGGGCCCAGGCAGCUGGGCAUCUCGCUUCCCCUGCUGUGUCCUCGAGCCGUGCACGCAGCUGGCCACGCGCUCCUCCCUGCCACCCGUGCAGGGCCCAGCGGGCCGCCCAGCCAGGGUAAACGUGUCCGCACCAGGAAUAAAGCGUUACCGUGAGACUCGCCGCCCCA
rnacentral:lncRNA from 1 species